ensembl:lncRNA
CCUCGCCCCCACUUGUAGCCAAUCAUCUGCCUCCACCACAUUCCUCCAGCCCUUAUAAACCUCACUCACCCAGCCCCUGGUUGCUGUUCUCACCAUUGUUUGAGACAGCCAGGCAGCUCUGUCCCUUAAUAAAGCCCUGCUUUGGGUGUUCGUGUUUUGGCUCAUUUUAUUUCUCUCACUUGGGAUCUUGUGCUUGUGAGGCAGGCACCAGAAUCACUGAGCUAAAUCCCCGGCUCCAAGGUCUUUCCGAGAGCAAAAGCCAUGUUUUAUGGAGAGAUGGAUAUUCUGUCUUGGCUCCAAUGGAGACAUUUUCCACCCUUCCCCACUGUGCUGUCUGCCCUUUACAGGAUGCACCAACAGAGUUUUCUUGCCCCCUGGCUUAGUUGAGCUGGGAGGCCUUGGCUGGAAUGAGAGAAGGGUCGGGUGUUUUCCCCUCGCUUGCUCCUUCACAAGGCGGUUUGGUAAUGGUGCUUGGCUCUGCCUACCAAACACCAUUGGCUCCAUAACCCAGCUCUCUUAUGCAGGUGCAGCUCUUGCUGGGAUGGUAGCAGUUUCCUGCUGGUGCCCAUUCCAGGGACCUGUGCCAUUCUUCACUGGUGCCUGCUAUAACUCUGACUGAAAUUUUACCAGUAGCCUCAUCAAUAACUGAAUCAUCUGCCUCCUGACACCAUCCUGGCUCUGACACCCGUCAUCUGGCCUGGUCCUUCUCCGAGGCGGCAGGAGGCCUUGGGGAGGUCUCCUUUCCAUGGAGCUUGAUGCAUUUGGAGCUAAGCCACUGGCCCUUGGCUCACUUUGGGAUGCUGGAUGACGCCCAGGAUUUGCCUAGCUCUCUUCAGUGUUGUCAGAGGUGUAUGGAUGCGUGGGAAAAGACACAGUUUAUAAAGGGCUCAGUUCCACCGAUCAUUUCAGGCCUAUCCUCCGGAUCUACUCUAUAUGAGGAAGAAAAGGAACUUAAACUAGCACUCUACGCUCUGUACUCCCUCCCCAGUGCUGAGAAAAUGCAGAUAAAAGACCAAAACUAAUCUUCUUUUGGUUGCCAAACAAUAUUUUCGUGACUAAGAACCCCUGCCUGUGCUGAGAGCGGACCACGUAAUGCCCAGCUUCAACAAAGAUGUGUGCAGUCAGCAGCAACCUCUGUCUCUCCUCCCCAGCUGCUGCUGCCCCCAUUCCUGCCCACCACACUGCCCUGAGCUCUGGAGCUGAUUCCCAUUGAUCUUCCAACUGCCAAAGUCAGUGAACACUUCCAGCCCUUCUCUUAUGUAACCUCUCUACAGCAUCUGUCUGUUGCCAAUUCUAGGUUCUUAGAGCUAGAAAAUAACAGUACAAGGAUUUAAGUGUGGACCUAUUCGAUUCUGAAGCUCUUUUGUUAUUGUUAUUUAAUGAGUAUUACGUAUUACAUAAGAUAAUUAUCUUAUUAGUAUGUAAUUAAUAAAUUAUUAUUUAUAAGUAUUAUGUCAGCGGUUUCAGCCUUCUGAUAUAAAAAUCCCAAACUUUUUAGAGGCACUGAUAUGAGGCUGUCAAAUGUGUGUGUGUGUGUGUGUGUGUGUGUGUGUACGUGUGCCUGUGUAGUUGUUAGGCCAUUUUAAAAAAUGCCCAACUACAAUAUAUCAUCAUUAUCAUUCAUUUUUGUUUUAAAAUUCCCCAAUGUACUGAUAUGAAAGUACCUCCUUACUGUGUUGUUAAGCAAGAUGCUAUUUGCUGUAUUAAAAAUUAAUUUUUACAAAUAUA